GUGAGGUCUUCAGAGAAAGGGAAAGAGCAAACGGCAUCCAGGGCUGAUAGCCUGACACUGACGGACUUCUAGCAGCAGAGUGAGCACCUAGCAAGUCCCAACAGCCACGGGAAGAGGAAGGAGCCCGAGCUCUCGUGGUGACCCAGGGGGCGAACGCAGACAGCGGGGCCAGUAUUCGUUACCUCUUCGGUGCCCUUCCUGCCGGCAGGGUCUACGGCAAAUGCUCAGUAGUGCUGAAUUAUAGGAGGCUCGCACUAAGCCUGCGAGGGAGGGGCUGGUUUCACCCUACUUUGCAGGAAAGAAAGAGGCCCUGAAGGUGAAGUGACCUCUCCAUGGACAAACUGGACCUCUCCAGCUGGUAAAGCUGGCACUUACGUCCGUUGCCCACGUCUGGUGGACACAAGGGUGUGCUGUUGUGAGUGGUGUCACAUCUGUAACUUGGGACCGCCUCUGAUUUGGUGGGAGUAUUUACACCAAGGAAAUCGGCAAACGUUACAGAUGAGGUUUUGUCUCUUCAGCACGCUGUGGAUGAGUCACCAUCCUCCAGAGAUAGAGCCUGAAAGAAACCUCCACCUGCCUCCAAGGUCCACCCGCAAGCCUUCGCCAGCCUUCUCUUCUGGAGCCUCCUGAUGAGCUUGGCACACCCUCCCCAAACAUUAACCUCUGGUAACCUGCUGGUGUCUGCUUUUAUGGUCAUUCUCCAAGCAUCUUGAUUCUUCUGUCGGCAGAGCUCAGCACAGAGUAGAGCUCACUCUGUGCUCGUGGGAUGAACCCACCUGUGAGCGGGUGAGUAAAUACGACUUCAGUUUUCUACAUUGGUGUCUCUUUGGCCUUUGGGGUGGGCCGUACCUCACUAAAGGGCACAACACUAAGGUUAUGAUAAGCCCCAAACUGCUUUUGGCCUCAAAAACAGCCCGAAGCUGAAGUGACAUUUCACACAAAUGUGAGUCGUGCUUGAUGUUGAAGUGUUUGCUGAGAAACUACUUGAAAAAGGCCACUUUUGGAAGAAACUACUUCGAAGGCGACUUGACAGUCCACUGAGCUGAGAAAAUGUGCCCAGGGAGCCAGGACCCACACAUCAAAGGGAUUCAGAAGGACAAUUUGCAAGGAGAGCCACACGUCCGGAUCACCUUGGGGAAAGCGGUCUUUGUCACUGAUCCGAAUCAAGGGCAGGAGGGCACAAGGACAUCAGAUUUGUUUGAAGAGAACAGCAUCCUGUUAGUCUUGGAAAAGAAUGACAUGAAGCCACCAAAACACCACUUCCUCCCCUCCCCCAGGCCCGCUCAUCACCCGGUGAGACUCCGUACAUCAAAGACUCUCUGAGCCCUAUGUCUGCCUUGUGUGUCACCCUAGUUAACGAUUUGAAGGCAAAUGCUCAGAACACUGAUGUGAGGGGGUAGAAAGAGCUCCCUGCCCCUCCUGUGUGGUUCUACCGUGUCCCCCUCCUCUGGGGCUCACUCCUCCAGGCCUUGGCAAUUUUUCUAGGUCUCAAGAGGCAGUGGACCCAAGCUCAUGGGUUAACUCCACCAACCCCUGUAGGAGCCUGGGUAAAUGACUUGAGUUUUUUGCCCCAUCUGUAGAAUUCAACUGUUACUUUGGCCUGUGUUACACACCCCCCCCCCCACCCCCCAACAUGGCUACAGAGAGGUCCGGGGAAGUGAUCUGUCAUAGACUCCAUGGAGCUGCAAGCUGCUGUUCUUAGCUUUGUCAAUGCCAUCACUAGUGUCUGGGUCCCCUCUUAUUUGACACAAGAAACCUAAGGCCCGGAGAUGUGAAGUGACUCGAUGAGGUCCCUGCCAGGGCCUUACACGGGGGUCUGGGAGUGGGUCCCGUGCCUCCUCUGUUAACAAAUGCAUUCCACUCUCGGUGCCCUUUCUUGUCAACUCUUACUUAUCAGCCUCACAGCAGGUGAAGUCAUCCAAUAACAGAAAGCCACUGCCCAUUUUGCUAUGAAUUUCUACCCAGGGAAUGCGGACACACCCAUACACCCCCGACCUACACCUCGCGUCACUCGGUUUUAGGAUUAGUAGAAAUACAUACGCUCUUUUUUUUUUUUUAAUUUAUUUGAGAGAGAGAGAGAGAGAGAGAGAUUGUGGGGGGGGAGAGGGACAGAGGAGAGAGACAGAAUCUCAAGCAGACUCCAUGUUCAGCAUGAACCUGAUGCGGGGCUCUGUCCCACAACCCUGGGAUCAUGACCUGGGCCAAAAUCAAGGGUCGGAUGCUCAACCUACUGAGCCACCCAGAUGCCCCCAAAUACAUACU